GCCUACCAUGGUAGUAACGGGUAACGGGGUGUUAGGGCACGACACCGGAGAGGGAGCCUGAGAAACGGCUACCACAUCCAAGGAUGGCAGCAGGCGCGCAAAUUACCCAAUCCCGACACGGGGAGGUAGUGACAAUAAAUAACAAUACGGGGUUCUUUCGGAUCUCGUAAUUGGAAUGAGUACAAUUUAAAUCUCUUAACGAGGAACAAUUGGAGGGCAAGUCUGGUGCCAGCAGCCGCGGUAAUUCCAGCUCCAAUAGCGUAUAUUAAAGUUGUUGCAGUUAAAAAGCUCGUAGUUGAAUUUCGGGGUCAGCAGGUCGGUCGUGCCACUGGUAUGAACUGGCCUCGCUGAUCCCUCCCUCUUGACGAACUGUGAUGCCAUUAAUUUGGUGUCGCAGGGAAUCAGGACUGUUACUUUGAAAAAAUUAGAGUGUUUAAAGCAGGCUCACGCUUGAAUACAUUAGCAUGGAAUAAUGAAAUAGGACGUUUGAUCCUAUUUUGUUGGUUUCUAGGAUUGACGUAAUGAUUAAUAGGGAUAGUUGGGGGCAUUAGUAUUCAAUUGUCAGAGGUGAAAUUCUUGGAUUUAUUGAAGACUAACUACUGCGAAAGCAUUUGCCAAGGAUGUUUUCAUUAAUCAAGAACGAAAGUUAGGGGAUCGAAGACGAUCAGAUACCGUCGUA
rnacentral:rRNA from 1 species